ACCGCAGAACACAAUCGAAUCUUCUGUGAUGCAUAUAGGUACGCUUCCGUUUAUCUUUUCUUAUUGAUUCGGUAUAAAAUUGCAUGUUUAGAUUUAUCAGAUUAGGUUUGAUUUAAAAAAAUUUUCUAACAUGUUUGAUUCACAUAACUUAUAUAAUAGAUUUUCUUCAUACAUGAUAGUAAAAUGAGUUUCUAAAGUCCUUAUAAAUUGUUUAGAAUACUAAUGAUCUAAUCUUGGUUGAUAAAUAUUCUUUAGUUAAUCAAGAGUCUUUAGGAUAUGUUUUAUGUAAAAUACAUUUAAACUGGUUUCUAAAGCUGUUCUAAAGUUUAACUAGUCAUUCCCUUUUUUCUUUUUUUUGUUUUUUUAAAAAACUUUUCAGUUGAUGCUAUAUUGCCAAUAAUUUAUGUCAGUCACAUAAUAAACCAUAGGUAGUAGUAUACAGUCAAGGCAGACCUUAAUUAGAUUAUGUUGGAAAUAUUAAUCCCCAAAACACACACAAUCACAACAAAUUAGAGUACAAAUAAAAAAAUAUAUAUAUUUAAUGUGAUUUGGCAAGUACACUUACAUUCACGGGUAAAGUUGAGAAAAAAAUUUUUCACUAUAAAAAAUGAGAGUACUUCAUUAAUACAAUUGUAAACCUUUUAUAUAAAGAAAUUACGAGAAUUUUAGUUCCAAAUUUUUUUUUUUAAUAUAUCUACAAAAUAUCUCCCAUGAUAAGUAUAAAAUAUCCCAUAAGAUUUACGUAAAAUAUCCUUAGGAUAUACAUAAACUAUCCUCCAGGAUAUAAAUAGGAUAUUUCCAGAAUCAAACCACAUCAACAAAUCUUUCUCUUAACUUGAAUUCUCUCUUGUUAAUAAAGUAACUGUCUCAUUACACUGUCUUGCCAAACUGCCAUCACAGGAGCAUUAUUGAGUAUUAUAUACUCCAAUCAAGUCUAGGUUGUACCUAAACUAGAUAACUGGGAUUGCCUUUGUCAUUAUAUCUGCAGGAUUCUCAUGUGUAGACUCCUACACAACUUCGGUACCCUAAAGUAGGCUGAGUUGAUACUCACCUAUAAAAAAAAAUCCAACUUCACCAACCAUCCAGACAAAGUCGCUGCUCAUUGACACUAUAUCGAAGCCGUUUCUGCCUUGUGUGAGCCACAUGCGCCUUUGGCAGUGGAAGCACGUGAUCCCUACAAGCUGUCAAGAAUCAACUCAUUUCGGUAAGAAUUGCCAAUAUCUAACCCUUUUUUGACAUUUCGCACGCAAUCCAGCAUAGAUCACGCGUCCAGAUUCUGGCCUUCACAUGGCUGCGCGUGUUUGGCCGAUCCGCCGUUCUGCGCCCUACAUCGUGUCGUCCCGAUCGUUCCGUGCUUGGAGGCCACUUGUUUGGACCUCCCUCACGCCACCUCACUCCGAACACUCACUGAACCGCACUGCAUUGUCGGACAGACGUCCUUCACGCGCCAUUCUAGCUUUCUGCACACAGGAACGUCCAAUCUCACCAUUCUGCAUGCUGAGCCACCCGAUCUUGUCUUUCCGCCCCUAAGUCGAGCUGUCCGUGUCUGAGCUGCUGCCGAGCCGAGCCGAUAUGAGGCAAGCCGAGUUCGAGCCCUUUUUUUGGCCGAGUUUGAGCUCUUUUGAGCCAAGUUCGAGUCGUUUUUUAGCCAAAUUUGAGCUUUUUUUUAGUCGAGUUCGAGUCGUUUUUGGGUCAUCUUCGAGCCGUUUUUUGCCGAAUUCUAGCUAUUUGAGCCGAACUCAAAUCGUUUUUGAGCCAAACUUAGUCAAGCUGCUGCCUCAUAGAUCUGGGUCCACUUGCAAGUUAGUC
rnacentral:lncRNA from 1 species